UUAAAUUAUUAAAUUAUUAUUAUUAUUUGGUUUUUAUUUAUUAAUAAAAAUAAUUUUAUGAUUUUUAUUUUUAGUAUAUUUUAUAGAAAAAAUAAAGUUAAUUAUAGUUAAGUAUUAUUGUAAAAGAAAUUUGAAAUAAAGUUUAAUUUAUAUAAAGUAAAAUUAAUUUUUUGUAUCUUGUGUCUCAGAGUUUAUUAAUUAAAAAUUAUUUAUUUAAUUUUCUCGAAUUUAAGAGGGAAAAUAAUUUAUUUUUUUUAUUGUAAAAUUAAUAUUUAUAAUAAAUUAUUAGUAAUGAAAAGUUAUUCGUUCUUAAAGAUAUCUAGUUUAUUUAGAAAUGAAUUUAAUUCAGAUGUUUGGAUUAAUUAAAUUAUUUUUUUAAUUUAAUUAAUAAAAAUAUUAAUAGUUAAGGGGAUAAGCUUUUAAUUAAAAAUCUAUAAUUGAAAAUAUAUAGUUAAAAUUUGUAGGUUUAGAAAUAUUCAUCAAUAAUAUUUUGUUAUAAUUAAUUUAUUUAAGAAUAUUAUUUUAUAUUAUUUUAGGUUUUUAUAAAUAUUUAUUUUGUAAUUAAUUAAAAUUAGUAAUAAUGAUAAAAUUAGUAUAAUUUAAUAUAUAGAUAAUAAAUUAAGAUAAUUUAUAUAGAGGAAUUCGGCAAAAAUUUCACUCGCCUGUUUAACAAAAACAUGUCCUUUAGAUUAUAAUUUAAGGUCUAGCCUGCCCAGUGAUUAUUUAAAUGGCCGCAGUAAUUUGACUGUGCAAAGGUAGCGUAAUCAUUAGUUUUUUAAUUGAAAGCUUGUAUGAAAGGUUGGACGAGGUGAAUACUGUCUUUAUGUAAUUUAAAAUAGAAUUUAACUUUUAAGUGAAAAGGCUUAAAUAGUUUUAAAAGACGAGAAGACCCUAUAGAUCUUUAUAUUUUUAUUAAAUAAUUUAAUAAGGAUUUAUUUUGAUUUAUUUAAUAUAAAAUAUUUUAUUGGGGUAAUAUAAAAAUUAGUAAAAUUUUUUGAAUUUAAUAACAUUAAUUUAUGAAUUUAUGAUCCAAUAAUAUUGAUUAGAAGUUUAAGUUACCUUAGGGAUAACAGCGUAAUUUUUUUAGAGAGUUCAUAUCGAUAAAAAAGUUUGCGACCUCGAUGUUGGAUUAAAAGUAAUGUUAGGUGCAGAAGCUUAAUAUAUUGGUCUGUUCGACCAUUAAAUUUUUACAUGAUCUGAGUUCAGACCGGCGUGAGCCAGGUCGGUUUCUAUCUUUAAUAGUUUAAUAUAUUUUAGUACGAGAGGACCAAAUAUAUGAUAUAUUUAUAUUUAUUAGUUUGAAUAUUAUUA
rnacentral:rRNA from 1 species